rnacentral:piRNA from 1 species
AAUCUAUGUAGAAAUUAUGACAGAAUA